AAUCGCAGGUGAGCGAGAGCGGCGCGCACGUGGCCGAAAUCAAAAAGAAAAAGGUAUACGAAAAUACAUAAAAAAAACCGUGGAACACGCGCGCGAGAAAGUAGCGCCGGGGAUGAGCACUCUGAUAUAACAAUUAUAUUCGUCCGAAUUCGAAAUCUUCGUCCUUGCGAAGAUAAGUGAAUCAAGGAGGCGAAAUUUACGACGAUUUGUAUAGUGUCAGAGGUGAUAAGCAAACUUUAAGAGAGUCUCGAAUUGAAAUUGAAAUAGAAAUUGAGUUACAAAAAUCUCUGGUAAGUCAAAUACCAAAAAUUACAUUUAAAUUAUGGCAAAAAGAAAAUAUUCCAAAUAUUACAUCUACAAGAUGUCACCUUAUUACGUAACAUUUUAUUUAUUACAUUCUCUUAAAAAUUUUAAAAGUUUCUUUGUAUCUUAUAUCUUUUUAUGGUCGCUUUCAUGAAUGACACAAGUUAUAAAAACAAAGACUCUGUCUUUUGUUUAGAAUUAAGAUAUGUCAACGCUAAGAUAUGUUAAUAAAUUCUUCUGCAUUUGUUUUGCUGCGUUUCAGUAAUGAUAUACUAUACACUUAUGUGACGUUUAAGCGCGAGGUUAUAUGUAAAAUACAUAGUUAGAAUCUCGGUUCAUAUUAAUAAUGCAGUCUGUCCCAUGCGAACACUUUCAUCUUCUUCUUCUUGACUUUAUACGCGCGAAGCGAGCUUUAUUUCAUGCAGUCGCGAUUGGGCGCGUCUCGCCUAUUAUCCCGCGAUUGACGUGUCUAAUUGCAUCAAUUGCGUAAUAAAUGGAAAUUAGGCUGCUCCAAAUGGCCAUGUAUCGCUCGGAGGUCAAUCGUCUGUGAGCGGGCACGCGAUUUUACAGCUCAUGUUGAUGCAUACGUGAGACAUGCAUGCGGGAGUUAUUAGUAAUAACCGGUAGAAAAUCGCCGUAAAUUUUAGGUUUUUUCCACUUUUAUACAAAACGCGAAUAUGUCUGUACUUGAACCUCAAUUAUAAAUUUAUCUGGCCUUUAACAAGUCGGGCAAGGCCGGAUCUACAAUAGAUAUAGUAAGACUUAAGCCGUAAAAAAAAAUUACUAAUAACAAUUGAUUAUUCUCCUUACAUUUGACUGUGAUUGAUCAAUUUUUUAUGGCUUGAGACUUCCUACACCUAUUAUAGAUCCAGGCUAAAAGUUUUAUUACGUAAAAACGUGAAAAGUACACGUCAUUCUGUCUAUAUUUGCGUAAUUUGCAUAAAAUUUUCUGCGGAGAUACUUCAUACUUCAAGUAACUACGCGGUAUCACACGUGUUUGCACGAUCGUUAAUAUUGUUAUUAUUCAGAAAUAUUGUCGAUUGGAUCUGAAAAAUACGUAAGACCUUGACCAUACAUUGAAUUCUCAUAUGACGUCAUGUGAAGAGACAUACGCAAAAGACAAAGAGAUGCAUAUUUUACUGUCCGUCAUUGAUGAUAUUAAUAUUUCUUUAUUAUAAUUACAACUAAAUUUUGUAUGACGGAAAUGAAUGAUAAAUUGAUUUUUUCUUCACAAAAAAAAAUGAUAAAAAUCGAUAAUGUUUGAAAAACGAGAGGCUAAUAAUUUUUAUAUUUUUACACAAUACAAAUAAUAUAUAAAAUAUAUAAAUACAGUAUGAAUGUGAAUAAAAACUUGUUGCCGAGAAAUUUGUCUUCUUUAAAAUGAUAGUGAUCAUCGAUAAUAAUAGCAUCGAAAUCACAAAUAUGUUGGUUUUCUAUGAUUGCAUAACUGCAUGUGUUGCCAUCAUUCAGGCGCUUUCGGUGUAAUAAUAUAUAUAGCAGUUACAAUUUUUUAUCAAAUGUUAAAAUGACUUUUUAAUUUUGAAAUCGUGAUCUAAAUUAGACAUUCUUUUUAUAUUAAAAGUUAACGGACUUUUAUUACGCUUUAUGAACGGGGAAGUAAUUAUAAUAAAGCGUUAUUAUUAAUUCAAUUCUACAUAUGCUUUACAUUAACUGACUUUCAACGAGAGGUUACUACUACGAUAUUUAACAUGUAAAAAUUCCACAAAAUGUAGAAAAAAUAAUAUCUCAUUAUAUUUAAAUAAAAAGUAAUAAUUCGAG